CACGUUUGCUACGCUCCCCGAGCCUUCCGUGGGGGAAGUCCGGUGAGAGUCCGGCGCUGACCCGCAGCGGUGUGCGUGAGGGGCCCGGUGGUCCGUCGCGCGAGCCCGAUUGCCCACGGCGAGGUUGCGACCCGU
rnacentral:ncRNA from 1 species